CCUACGGGAGGCUGCAGUGAGGAAUAUUGGUCAAUGGCCGAGAGGCUGAACCAGCCAAGUCGCGUGAGGGAAGACGGCCCUACGGGUUGUAAACCUCUUUUGUCGGGGAGCAAAGCGAGUCACGUGUGACUCAUUGAGAGUACCCGAAGAAAAAGCAUCGGCUAACUCCGUGCCAGCAGCCGCGGUAAUACGGAGGUUGCGAGCGUUAUCCGGAGUUAUUGGGUUUAAAGGGUGCGCAGGCGGAGGUGCAAGUCAGCGGUCAAAUUGCGGGGCUCAACCCCGUACUGCCGUUGAAACUGCAUGCCUUGAGUGCGCGAGAGGCAUGCGGAAUGCGUGGUGUAGCGGUGAAAUGCAUAGAUAUCACGAAGAACUCCGAUUGCGAAGGCAGCAUACCGGCGCGCAACUGACGCUCAUGCACGAAAGCGUGGGUAUCGAACAGGAUUAGAUACCCUGGUAGUC
rnacentral:rRNA from 1 species